rnacentral:tRNA from 1 species
GGCCUAUAGCUCAGAUGGUUAGAGCGCACGCCUGAUAAGCGUGAGGUCGAUAGUUCAAUUCUAUCUAGGCCCACCAUCUGAGUCAUAAAUAGUUGGCAAAUUUGGCCAAUUGGAGGU